rnacentral:tRNA from 1 species
GUCGCGCUAGUUUAUCCAGAACACUUAACUUGCACUUAGAAAGAGGGGGUUUACCCCCGCACGACA